rnacentral:tRNA from 1 species
UGAGGUGUAGCUCAGUGGUAGAGUGCAUGCUUAGCAUGCACAAACCCCUGGGUUUGAUCCACAGCACCACCA